CCUACGGGAGGCAGCAGUGGGGAAUAUUGCACAAUGGGGGAAACCCUGACGCAGCGACGCCGCGUGAGGGAAGAAGGAUUUCGGUUUGUAAACUUCUAUUAGCAGGGAAGAAAAUGACGGUAUCUCACUAAGAAGCCCCGGCUAACUCCGCGCCAGCAGCCGCGGUAAUACGUAGGGGGCAAGCGUUAUCCGGAUUUAUUGGGGGUAAAGAGGGCGUAGACGGGGGAGCAAGUCUGAUGUGAAAUCCCAGGGCUUAACCAUGGAACUGCGUUGGAAACUGUGUUGCUGGAGUAUAGGAGAGGUAGGCGGAAUUCCUAGUGUAGCGGUGAAAUGCGUAGAUAUUAGGAGGAACACCAGUGGCGAAGGCGGCCUGCUGGACGAUAACUGACGGUGAGGCGCGAAAGCGUGGGGAGCAAACAGGAUUAGAUACCCGUGUAGUC
rnacentral:rRNA from 1 species